rnacentral:rRNA from 1 species
UGAACGCUGGCGGCGUGCCUAACACAUGCAAGUCGAACGGAGUAAUUAAGCGGAAGUUUCGGAUGGAAGCAUAGUACUUAGUGGCGGACGGGUGAGUAACGCGUGGGCAACCUGCCCCUGUACCGGGGGAUAACACUUAGAAAUAGGUGCUAAUACCGCAUAAGCGCACAGCUUCGCAUGAAGGUGUGUGAAAAAACUCCGGUGGUACAGGAUGGACCCGCGUCUGAUUAGCUAGUUGGUGGGGUAGAGGCCUACCAAGGCGACGAUCAGUAGCCGGCCUGAGAGGGUGAUCGGCCACAUUGGGACUGAGACACGGCCCAAACUCCUACGGGAGGCAGCAGUGGGGAAUAUUGCACAAUGGGGAAACCCUGAUGCAGCGACGCCGCGUGAGUGAAGAAGUAUUUCGGUAUGUAAAGCUCUAUCAGCAGGGAAGAAAAUGACGGUACCUGACUAAGAACGCCCCGGCUAACUACGUGCCAGCCGCCGC